ACCAACUCAUCCACAGUGGAGUUAAAGCAUAUAGCUGUGACUUGUGUGGAAAGUCUUUUACCCAUGCUGGAAGCUUUAAAAGACACCAAAUCAUGCACAGUGGAGUUAAACCAUACAACUGUGAUUUGUGUGGAAAAUCAUUUACCUUGGCUGAAAGCUUAAAACAACACCAACUCAUCCACAGUGGAGUUAAAGCGUACACCUGUGGGUUGUGUGGACAGUCUUUUACCCAGGCUGGACACUUAAAAAGACACGAACUCAUCCACAGUGGAGUUAAAGCGUACAGCUGUGGGUUGUGUGGACAGUCUUUUCACCGUUCGGGAAACUUAGAAAGACACCAACUCAUCCACAGUGGAGUUAAAGCAUACAGCUGUGAGUUGUGUGGAAAGUCUUUUAACCGUCCUGGAAACUUAAAAACUCACCAACUCAUACACAGCGGAGUUAAAGCGUACAGCUGUGACUUGUGUGGAAAGUCUUAUACCCAGUCUGGAAAUUUAAAAACACACCAACUCGUCCACAGUAGAGUUAAAGCGCACAGCUGUGACUUGUGUGGAAAGUCUUUUACCCUGGCUGGAAGUUUAAAAAAACACCAACUCGUCCACAGUGGAGUUAAAGCAUACAGCUGUGAGUUGUGUGGAAAGUCUUUUAACCAUCCUGGAAACUUAAAAACUCACCAACUCGUCCACAGUGGAGUUAAACCAUACAGCUGUGAGUUGUGUGGAAAGUCUUUUAACCAGUCUGGAAGUUUAAAAACACACCAACUCGUCCACAGUGGAGUUAAAGCGUACAGCUGUGACUUGUGUGGAAAGUCUUUUAACCAGUCUGGAAGUUUAAAAACACACCAACUCAUCCACAGUGGAGUUAAAGCGUACAGCUGUGACUUGUUUGGAAAGUCUUUUAACCAGUCUGCAAGCUUAAAAACACACCAACUCGUCCACAGUGGAGUUAAAGCGUACAGCUGUCACAUUUGUGGAAAAACUUUCCGCUGGCUACUCAGCCGAAACAUUCACCUACGCAUUCACACCAAAAAUGAUGUUUACUGCUGUGAUCAGUGUGGUAAAGCUUUUGUGACAUACAAAAACUUACAGCACCACAUGUUUACCCACACUGAGGAGAGACCUUAUAAAUGUGACCUCUGUGAGAAAACUUUUAAAUCUCCACGUUACCUCAAAUCACACCAAAAGAUUCACAGCAGAAAGAAACUCUAAAAGUGCAGUUACUGUGAGAAGCAGAGCGACACAGACUGAUCCAGUUCUCAACCCUGUCGUCACUGUGGUAGUGGGAAAGAGUUUCUCUGUGACUUUUGUGAAAAAACUUUCAAUCAUCAAGAGAACCUAAACAACAUCAACUCAGACACACUGGAGACAAAACGAACUACUGCAAAGAAUAUGGGAGAGGCUUCCCUAAACCAAGUGAAUUAAACCAAAAUUAACUCUGUCACAUGGGGUCAAAAACCAUCUCUCAUUCACCACUGCGGAUCAUCUUAAAGUGCAUGGAAGAGUCCACACAGGAGAGAAACCAUACAAAUGCAGAAACUGGGAGAAAAGUGUCUCGCUGUCAGGAAGUUGUAACAAACAUGAACGUACAUACAUGGAGGGGAAACUACAGCUGUGACCAGUGUGACAAAUCAAAACAUUUCACACCCAUUGAUUUUGAAAACCUUCAAUAUGAACUAAAGCCAUCAACAGGAUGUGAAACGACCACUGAUGUGACUUUAUAUCCAAGAAAAAGAUAAAAAGUCAAGCUGAUCUGGGUCUGGGCUGUACUUUGGUGUAUUACCACCUUAAACAGUUUGAUCUUUUUGUGGUUUCAUUGACUCAGUUAUGUCAGAUUUCCUCUCUGUCCUGGUCUGGAUGCUCAUCUGUAAAGAAGUAAAACUCGGAUGGUUCAGUGGUCUCUAGCAGCUGAUUAGUGAGCCAGCACUUCUGUGUAUCAUGCAGUUGUGCUUCUUUUCCUCUUGUGUCGACUCAGCUCAGUUACUUGGUUAGAGGGUUCCACAUAUACAAGAAUCCUUCCUGGAAUCGUUUUUUGGUAUGAGGUGUUCUUGGGAAGACGUCACACCACCACCACUGUGUCAGGCUGUUCCUGUGAUCUUCUUUUAAUGCCACGUGUAACGGGACUCAAAUCUCUCGAAAAACUACAGCUUCCGUCUCAUUUACCAACAAACAUCAUCCAGAUGUUUGUUGUUAGAUGUGAGAUGAGCCUUUCUGUUGUUGAAUCUCUCCCCCCAUUGAAUCUCUUAUUGCUGAAUCAUGACCUCUGACCUUAUCUAAGCUAAGUAAGGCCUGCAGGUCUUUAGAUGAUGAUCUGGGUUCUUCAGUGACCUCCUGGAUUAGUCAUCGAUGCACUCUUGCAGUAUUUCUAGUCAGCCACUUGCUCCUGGGAGGCUUGAGUACUCUUCCAUUUUUCCUGUAGUGUGGAUAAUGGCUCGUAGUUCGCUUGAGUCCCAAAGCCUUAGAAAUGACUCUGUAACCUUUUCAUACUGAUGUCAGUGACUUUGUUUCUCUGCUGUUUCUUUUGAUCGUAUCAUGAUGUGCUGCUGUGUGAGGUCUUUCAGCCGGCUUCCAUACAUGGUCAGGUUGUUUUUCAUACCUUUUUACCCUUAACAAAUGAAACCAUUUACAGACUA